rnacentral:rRNA from 1 species
AAUGAACGCUGGCGGCGUGCCUAACACAUGCAAGUCGAACGAGAAAACGGGCUUCGGCUCGUGAGUAAAGUGGCAGACGGGUGAGUAACACGUGGGUAACCUGCCCGGAGGUGGGGGACAACCAUCCGAAAGGAUGGCUAAUACCGCAUAAUAUCGCGGAUUCCUCGGAAUCUGCGAUCAAAGCUUGCCUCUGCAAGCAAGCUAGCGCCACCGGAGGGGCCCGCGUCCCAUUAGCUAGUUGGUGAGGUAACGGCUCACCAAGGCGACGAUGGGUAGCCGGCCUGAGAGGGUGAUCGGCCACACUGGAACUGAGACACGGUCCAGACUCCUACGGGAGGCAG